AAGUACGGUACGGAGCAAUCACGACUGAGCCAUAAUCAUUCGUCUCCGCCUCCUUUUCUAUCCUCUUUCACCAGCUGACACGCAAAAUGGCAUAGCCGGCCUGUGUCACUCAAAAAGCCAUUUCUGUCCUCCCAGACUGUCGCACUGACAGAGUGAGAGAAUGAGGGGUAGACGGGCGAGCGGGUUGUCCGCCACAGGCAUUUUUCAACAUGGCUUUUUGUCAAUUCCUGAGUACUGUUGAGCCGACUGAGGAGUAUUUUAAGAAAGGCUUUGAGGCAAUGAAGUUCCGGGGACAUAUUUCUUAAGCCGCUGUUUGUUGUUUCCUAGAAGGCAGCGGUUGAACCGUUCUGUCAGAUAAGCAGCAUGAUUUCCAGUGGUGGAUCUUGAAGCCAGAUUACGGAUGCCGAAGUCAGCCACAUAUAGAAAUGCACAGCAUGCAGUGACGCACGCCAUCACAGAGCCUCCCAUGCCUCAGCCAGUUGGGGCAAAUGCCCAAGAGCAGGGCCAACUAUGUCUGCACUGACUUCAUCAUCUGUGACCAGAAAACCAGUCAAAACAAAAUGUGUUUUAUCUCAUUUUUAGUCCGAGUGCGUCACAUUUGAAUUGGACUGGUUUGAGACCUAGACCUAGGACACGGAGUGCAAGCGGGUGCCAUCCAAAAGAUUCUAACAUGAUCACCGCAAUAGACAUUGAAUAAAGCAGCAGCACAGUUUAAGGAAUCACAAUCUAAAGCACACAGAUAUGGAGAGGAGCUUUCAGCCUCAUAAACUAUUUAUCAACACUGAAAAAAAGAUCAAGAUCAAAAUCCCUUUUCAUUUAUGUCCAACACAAAUAUUCAAGAAAUAUGAAACAGAAAAUAAAGCACGACGCAGUGAAAUGAUCAUUUCCCCAUCAACCCUCGAGUUGUUAGCAUGCUCAUAAAUCUUGGUGUUUGUAUUCAUUAAUCUGCUGGUGCUUUUAGGGCAGCGGAGGCCACACACUUCCAUCCAAAAUCUGGAUUUAGAACCACCUAAAGUAUAUUACUCAUUUGAAAUGCCUCUAAAAUGAAGGCAAAAAAAAUGGCCCGCAUUAGUGGAAUGAGAUUUCGUGAAGAAGAGGGACACUAUAAAUGACAAGAUAUCAAAGGUGCAAGUCACUCGUCCCCAUUACUUCUCUCUCUGUCCAGGCUUUUUAAUCAGUGCUGCUUUAGGAGGGACGUGGUCUGACUGGAUGAUGAGCACCCACAGAGAGAUGAAGGGGAGUGCACCAGACUCCAGAUGUUUCACUCUUCUUUUGCUAAAGACAUGAAUAAUCAAAGCUGGAAUCCAAAUUUUUAAAAGAAUCUUUGGCUACUUUGCGCUCAACAAAGUCCAUUGCGAGCCACUCGCCAGGAUUCUCCAUCAUUCCCAAUGAAUUCAACUAUGAUACAUGCAUCAAUGACAACCACUGCACAGCAGUAAUUACCAAGGAGGCAACAAGCAAAAAUCAAACAUUUUUUUGAUGAAACUAUCGGGAUAUGCAGAGAUCAAGUUUUACCAUAGAAACUUCAGAUAGUCAAGUAUAGAAAUCUUCCAUUAUGGGGUCCCAUGAAUGCACACAAGUAAAACUGCAAAGGAAUGUGAACACAAAGAUGGUGGGAUAAAAAGAAAAAAAAACGCUUAGAUCUCAACAAAACUGUAAAUAUAUUGAGAAGUCAUCUAUUUUAUUAUUGUGUCUUUUUACACAUGGACACUGGAUGUUUAUUACGAUGACAUUUUGAAGUACAACAACUGAUUUUUACGCUCAACAAAAUAUGUCUUCAAACACACGUGAGCAAGGCCAAAUGAUAAUGUCAGGGUUUACGCCAGGAUUUUUUUUGAAACUGCAGCGGAACAGUUGCACGCUCUCACCUCCCCGAAAAAAAACUGGAAUGCUCAACUUGAAUUCCGCCAGAAACAGACUUCAGUCAAUUUUAGGUUCCUUGCAGAAUUUUUUGCAAAUAACAUGGCGCUACAAUAGCUUCUCCACUACUAAAAGGAAAGAGGAGAAAUUGUUUCUAUUUUAUCUUUAUUUUGUGUCACAUCCUAGUGAAAUGCUGACAGUCUUUAAACUAUUUUACAUGGAAAUAAAAUGCAUGGUUAAAAGGCAUCAACUCAGGUCGUAAAACUAAUUCAUUUCACUCUUCUACGGGCAGCAUAGUGUAAAAAUUUGAGCGUUUGUCUCCGCAAUAAGGAAGCAAAGAAAUCAUCCCAUCCAUGCUGUGCUGUUAUAACAGCAUAUCAAACGUGGAGGCACGAGGCAGCUGUAAAUACCCGUCCAUCUGCAGGGUAAUGGGAGACUUUAAAGACGCGUUUCCUUCUCAAUAGCUGCUGACGCGUUUGUGGGGCCACUGUUUGUCACUUGCUAAAGACGAUUCUCCAAUGUACUAUUAAUUUGUAUUCCGUUUGUUUUCCUUUGCUUAGAUUCUCAGCAGCAGAAGGGCGAUUAUUUAAGUCCCCAAAGCUUUUAGACUAUUUUGUGGUUGCCACUAUAAAAAGGCAGCUUCACCUGUAAAGGCAGAACCGCACACAAGUUUGGCACAAAAGGUAUGAAACGCCCGGCGUAUAGUGACACGGCUCUUGUCCCUCUUGUUCACCCACACAGACAUGUGUUGCCAUGUGUAGCAGUAGUUUGGAGAACUUAAUCGACAUCUUAGCCUCUGCUCUCCUCCGUGACAACGUGGGAGGACUGGCCCUGAUAGAAUAGACUGUUGUGUUAUUGACUUCAAUUUAUAAAGUGCUGCCUGCUGCUUUUUCCUCCUGGUCCUUUCAGAGCCAAGAUCUCACUGGACACUAUUGCAGUCUGACUCCAGGGGAUAAACCCUGGCAAUGCCAGUAAAAUCACAUUGGAGGAGGUUUUCAGGACCCGGUGUAAAAGGCCGGGGGAGGCGAUGUGUUUAGCAUUUUCAAAAUAUCUGCCUCCUCCGACAUCAAACUCAGCAGCUGGCCACAGUUUACUGUGACUGAUUUACUCUUGUGUUGGUAGAAACAAUACUAUUAACUGAAUCUUUAUUUUCCCCAACACUCGCUUGAUGCAGGUGCAAUUGACUGCCUGCUGAGGUCAAGACAACUCUGAUAUCACGGUUCUCACUCAUAAAACGGGUGGAUUGCCUUGACCACGUGGAAGGAGAGAUCUUCCAGAAGCAUCAGAGGUCUUGUUCACAAGUGAUCCACGGACAGAGCAGUGCUUCAUCAGAAACAAAUCCAUUGGUACAUCGAGAAAGAGUGAGGUACUGUGGGCAUAUCUAAGCACAGCCACAGCACGUGGGAGACACAAUAUGUCUUGUUGAUUGGGAGUGCUUCCAAACUCCUCAAGAAGAGCUGAUGAAACGUAGACCACUAUGGCAUCUACGCCCACAACUCAACUUUGGACGGGUUAUGGAGGAAUGUAAUAGAUGUUUGGAAUAGUUAUAAUAAAUCUAAAGCACUUCAACUACUUCACCUAAUAAGAAAUGCAGAUGAGAGAAACCUUUAAGUGGUGUUCCAUGGAAGAUGUCGCUGAGUGUCGUGGACACAGCAGUGGUAGGCAGUAGCUCUGACACAAACAUGGGGCCAAACAAGAAGAGAUGAAGAUACUGAGGUUGGCUUAGACAGCGGAGUGUCAGAGGGGAAUGAAACAAAGGACAGCAAAUGAGUUCAUGAUGAAGGAGGAAGCAAAGGUGUGACAAAGAUCCAAGUGAAUGUCUAAUGGCAAAGAAGAAGCUGCAGCACAACCCGUCCAUUUGUGGUCUGUUCGUUUCCAUAAACAACACAAUAAAAUAGUUUGAGUAAAUCAAGAAAAAAAACAAAAUUGAAGGCCAAAUACUAUUUACCUCUGCUGGCUCAUUAACGAUGGGGUCGACGGAGCCAAGCGCGCAGCUUCUUUCUACUGCUUCCAGCUAACACAGCGCUCAGGCUAAUCCUGGCUCUGGCAGCCAGUUCCAACACAGCUCAACAUAAUGAAGCCUAUUAGUGUGGAGACAAUGGCUGCGAGUGAAGACCAAACAUCCUAUAACACAGGAUUUGAGUGGAGGGGGGAUCUCUUUCAAACGGUGUGCUUCAGUUUCCAUGACCUGAUGCUGCUGCCACUGUUCAAACGCAGAGAUGCAAACAUGCUCUGAAAGCACACACAAUUCGCUCAGAACUGACCUUCAUGGGACAAGGGAGAAGUCAACAAAGAACAGAAAAGGGAUGAUAGAAAAUCCAUGAAAUUGCUUCAUGAUGAAGGCAGUUCUGUGCAACUUCCACGGAGAAUCGACAUAUACCCAGAUGGCAGCUGGAUCUCAGUGGGAUCUGUGUAGGAAUCAGAUUUGGGCUGGAUCGACCAGACAGAUAUCCAGCACGGAGUCGGGUGCAAUCUGGAAUCUGAUGGUCAUAUUUUGCUCGGAUGUGGCCCUGAUCUGUGCUGGACCCGGCCCGGGUCUGGGGUGCUGGUGUUUAUUUUGCUAUUUCAGGCCAAAACUGGCCCACGUGCAUUUCGGAUCCGUUUGGCAGAUCCGCACAGGAUUUGGUCCAUCGUUCAAGCGGCAUGUUGCUGGUAUACGAGACGGAUCCUUUAUUGCAUCUGGCCCAGAUCCAUUGUGUUAUCUGUUCAGUUAUCUGUUCAGAUUCCAUGAAAAAGGUACAGUUGUAACAUAUUCUAUGCUUCUUAUAAUCUUUGGUCACUAGAUUUAUGAUUCCACUGUUUUCUUCUCACCAAAGGGAUAAAAUAUGGCGAAAACAAUUCCCCCUUCUGCUCCAGAACAAACAGAACAGAGUUCAAUUCUGUCUGAAACACGAAAGAGGAACCAAUCAAUAGGCCGACCUGCCUGCACGUGUGGUAAACAGCACAAGUUGAAAUGUCGGCGCCGUUUUUGGCAAACUGAAUCCCUUGAAAAGGAAGCGACCAAGCAUCUGACGUCUGAAUCAUAGGGAUGAUGAUGAUGUGAUUUACCUUCUGGGAGUCUACUACGGCAUAUGAUCAUCUCUUAAUAUGUUGGCAUAUGACUGGUGUGUCGGUGGGUGAUGAGAGAAAUGAUAAACAGAAAAAGUCGCUCUGCUAAGCAGUUUAAGCCCUUCCCGGGACAGUGAUAGCAGAGUGUCUGCGUGCAUGUGUCUGUGUGCGUAAUCUCCUGCAGAAUUAAUUCCUGUAAAUUGAAAUGAAAUUGGAAAGUGAGAGUGUAGCCGGGGCUUUACCUCAAGGUCACUAUCAAAGUUGAAUGUACAGUUGAUACGCAUUAGAGUGUGUGGCAUGAAAAUUGGGCUGAGACCAUGCGCUGAGACGAUUCGCUCCUGAUUAAUUGCCAGUUACGUUGAGGUCACUGACUGUGAAUGCGAGGAGCACCCAAAUAUAUAUACAUUUUUUUACCCCUGGGUAGGGGAAGAUUCUGCCAGCCAGCUCAACAUCACACCGAGCAGCACAUAAAUAGGACGGUUCACCCAUCUAAUGUGAUUGUCAUUCCUACUAUGACCGUCCGCAGGCCACCCCCCCAACACACAUGCGAGCAGGCACAGGCUGCUGACCUACAUGUGACUGGCGACAGCCCAGUUUUGCUAGCACCCGCCCCAGGGAAUAGGUUUUGUACUGUUUGUGUGUGCCCCCAUGAAAGACUGUCGCUGACAAGCUGGGCUGAAGUAGGUCGUGGUGUACCCUCAAACAACACUCUGAAACCCUCGAGGUCUUUCAGAGAGAAAAUCCAUUGAGCCUAAGGUUGAAGCAAGGGGCAACAGGAGCUUUGAACUGCUAUGACACUUUCAAAGUCCCGCAUAUUUGACAGCUCGUCGGGUUGCCACUGGUCGCCGGUUUCUGCAGGCGAGGCCUGGCAGCACUCUUGUCAAGAUAAUGACUCCUACACUGUGAACGGCUGAGUCCACGUUUGACUUCACAUGGAAGUUUAGGUGCUUUGCAACAUCAGCUUUGGCACCCUUAGGUCCCGCCUCCGAACAAAUGCUUGACCUUGGAACACGACUGACCUGACUGGCGACCAACUUGAGAGCCGAGGGUCGGUCACGAGUGACCAACUGUGACUGUUGGGCCGGUAAUGACACCAACUAGGCUGUGAAAAACUGAGUGAGAACAAACUCGCCCUGGCUUUUAGCCUUCUACAUUGCGGAUACACUCUAUUAUCAUGCCGCAAAGCCAAAAAAAAAAAAAAAUACAGCUCACAGUCACAGUAAGUCAAUAUUAAUUAGAGGAGCAUUGACAGUAAGUGUGUUUCUGUGUAAGGAGGUACUUAGAUGGGACAUUUAACUAGCCCCUGCAAUCUCCCCGGAACUUCAACAGUACGGAGGUUUAGCUAAUGCCCUGUGUCUGUGUAGAAUAAAGGCUCUAUACUGAUGUGCCACUGGGAAUAUCUUACUGUGCUACAGCAAGACUGACCUUUUCUCGCUGGCAUGCUGUGCUUCCUCACUUUCCUACUCUUUCACACGCUUAUUCUAGAGCUUGGAUGGAGCGAUGUACUCACACACACACACAUACAUACAGGCGGCCUGUCACAGCUCGCUUUACCAGCUAUCAAUUACCCACACUACUGCUUCCUGGUUUAAUGGACACGAGGCUUGUACAAAUCACUGGAGAUAGAAGGCUGAUGGGACAGUAGGCUGCGUUUGCUUUGCCUCUUUCCUGUGGCAGGAAGGUAAAGCAUGUCUUGUUUACUCCUGUUUGCCUUCCUUAACAUGACCUUUUAUGGCUUUGUGUUGCCUGAAGCUCAGUUUUGUUGAAAGUGGUGCCCACACUUGAAACGCUCUGAGCGCGUGCAGAAGCAAGGAGGGAAGAUUAAUGAAAGAGAAAAAUGUCCAGACCAAAGUAGGACUUGAUUAUGCAAGAAUGGUAAAAGAUGGUGGGGUUGGGGCUUGUGCUGCAGUCUCACAGCAAGGAGGCUGUAGGUUCGAUUCCAGUCUUCUCUGCAUCCUUACUGUAGUAGUGUGGAUGUGUCCAAUUCACCCCUACGGUCCAAAAUCUGCAGUGGUGAUAUGGUGAUUCCAAAUGGUUGGUAGGAGUGAGUAAGUGUUGUGGUUGGAUGUUGGUCCACAUGUGGCGUGAUUGGUUGGCGACCUGUUCACUGUGUCCCUCGCCUCUGCCCAAGUAUCUUUUCAGGAAUGAAAUAAAAACCAUUUCCCUUGACCAACUGCUACCCAGCAAAUAAGGCUAUAAUAAGACGACAUUCGUUAAAAAAGGCCUGGGACUCAAACACGACAAUAGCGACUAAUUUAUGACAAAAAAAACAUGUGGCACCAAUAACAGAAUAAAUGUGAUGAACUUUCCUUUGGCCGGAAGCAACGUUUCAGAGCACAAAUUCCAGGUAUGACAAAACCAAAACGUCCAUGAUGAAGAACUAAUAAAUGAGAUUGAGCCGAUGGACGGAAAACGUUUAUCAAAUGUUAAAAUGUGACUAAUCACAAAAUUAAAAAAAUAUAUAUUACAAGAAAGUUUUAAAAAAAGACAACAAAAAGACACAGAUUUCAUGAAUUUUGGUGCCAAAACGAUAACAUUUUCUUUCCCUCAGCUGAUCUGAUCAGGGCUAUCAGCUGUAGAAAAUGUUGGAAAGGCACAGCCAAUGUCAUCCUUUUGAUGUUUAGGUGGGUUGUUUAUUUACAUUCCACUUUCUGUUGCAUCAGAUAUGCAGUUCCCGCUGCACUUUCUACGAUGUUUCCAGUGAAGAGGCUGGACAGCCUGAUAUAAUUUCUCCACUUGAUUACAGCGUCACAAAAGAGUUGUGUGAACUAUUUUUGCCUUUCUCAGGACACCGAUCGACCUGCUCAUGAACAAUAAUUAGUCCUUGGAAGCACAAAAUGGUUUAUAAAACUCAGGUUUCUUUUCAUGUGGAAGAAAGGCUGUAGGGUACAUGGACUCCAUCAUUGGCAAGACACUGAAUAAUGGAUCACAGCUGAUGAGGCUGACCACUCUCUGCAGCCCUGAGAAAAGUGUUUGAAAACUGUCAAUUAUAAUGUGUUCCAUGUACCAGACAGUCUUUUUUGAAGGAGGCAUUACAUUCUGUGAUAGUGAAUAGGAUAAUAAAAAACAAAUUUAGGGCACUGGUGAGGGAAAAAGUACAGGCUGAGGAAACGACAAAAACGGCAUAGAGGGACACGAAUGUCGGGGGCAGAUAACACAACGCAUUUAAGCAAAACAGAGCUCCAAGCAGGAUGCGUCAGCACUCCAUUCAUGUUUCUCCAUCAGUAAAGGACAAAAUGAUAAGGGCGAGAGCAAGGACAGGAGAAGCGAAAGGGGUGGAAGAAAACGGAAGCAGCAGACAAGAGGACAGGAGACCCAUCUGCCUGCCUCUUCCACCACAACAGUGCUGCCAACAGAGGCGUCACAAUGGCUUGCUUAGCACAAGCAAGAGACCGGUAAAAAUCUGGUUGCCGUGGGAAUGCCACCGUCCGGUUGUGCCUUUUGCUCGCAUUGGUAGUCUUUAAUUUCCCCGGAGCCACACAAAGCCCCGCCCCCGAAAAAAAAAAGUAUGAGUAUUUAAAGAGUGCACAGGAGAGCAAGAGUAAAAUGGUGUUUGAAGAGGCAGAUUUCUAAAAAGGUCUGAGUGCUUUGAGCUCUCCCAACUACCUCAGGACACUGCAGAGACAGCAGCAGGGAGGCAGGGAGAGAAAGCGAGGCAGAGAGAGAGACCAAUAGAAAGCAGGGGAAGAGAGUGAGCGUGUGAGAUGGACAGAGCGAGAGAGCGACAGAGAGAGAGAGAGAUGUGCCGAGAGAGACCAAGCUGGUGCACACUCUCUCUUUUGCUGCUACAACGGAUCUUUCCACAUCGACGCUACUGUUAACGUCACGCCUGUAAGCAGUGCGCUCACCAUUGGCUUGCCUUCCCCCGUUUUCGUCCUCUCCUCAGUCGGAUGCUAUGUUUCUGAAGAGGUGCUGAUAACCACCAAGAAAAGAAGAAGAAGAAAGAACUGGAAGAAAAAGGGAGUAAAAGACACAAGCCAGGGAGAAGAAGGAGAAACAGCGCACCACCCCUCCCUCUCACUCAGCUAAGCACCCCCACUUCUCGGAGAACCCCUUUCCAUCCCCCAUUCAACUCCUCCAAGGAAGAAAUUGACGGAUUAUUGGGAAGUGCACGGGAAGCAGGCUGCAGCUGCUGCUGUGUGCACUUUCUACUGCUGCGAUACACUCUGCAGAGAUGCUGUGAGUGUGCGCGAUCGCUGCUGUUGCAACCAUGGCUCGAGCGUGGGGUCUGUUAACAAAAAGAAGCAGCUAAUGAAGGCAGUUUUUGCCCGUCUGUUUUAACCCCCUCGCCAGGCACUCCAGGAGGGAAAGGAGACGCAAAACAAGAAUAACCAAGCGGACACGAUGCCUCAUUGAAAAGAGGCGCCACGGAGAAAGAAAAGGGCUUCCCGACCGACCGACUGACUGAUCGAUCGAUUGACUCAAAAGUGAACUGAGGAAUACAAAGAGAACACUGUUUUUUUUCCUCUGGGUUGUCAGUCUUACACAAGCAUCACAACCGCCAAGGGACGUAACGCUGCGAAGGACUUGGAUUUUAAUUCAACCUUCAUCUACCACCGGACCAUCCAACUUCUGUGCCCCCCCCAAUCCCCUUUCUUUUUUCACCUGCAACGGCUUUCAGGACACAAAAUGCGUGCCUUUUUCCGGACAACUCUGCAAUGAGGAGCAGAGUAGGGCGAUUAGCACUGGGAUCAAGCUCGCGAUUCCAAGGACAGGAAAGAGAGGAGGCAGCAGAAAGAAGAGAGCACAUGAGCGCUGUUGCUUUUGGAGCCUGACUGGAUUUCUAUCUUUUUUUUUUCUUUCUUGGUUUGUUUUCUUUCUCUUCUGACACGGAAAGGACACGGACACAUAAAGGCCUUCAAAAUGAUUCUAUACGGAUGUGUGGAUUUACAAAAGUGAUCGUCUUGGUUAAGCUCUUGGGCGUUCGUACAUGUUCUAACUGAGCAGAUAUUUUAAACGGCUUCUUUUCCUUCUCCUGGAAUACACGUACUACUUGUAUACAUAACACAGCUCUUUCCUAUUGAUAUAAGGAGAAGUAAUAUAUCUCAGUGCAAGGAUCUGUAAAAUAACUUGAGGUAGGUGUCUAGUGCUUCGAUCCCCCCGUAACGACCUUGUUUACCAUUUAUGUUGUUGAGACUUACCGACAUGAUCCUCUCAUGCAUGUUUCAAAGCAAGCACAUCUCCACUGCCCUUUCAAAUCAGAAUGUCUCAGAGUACAGUGCAAAGAUAGAGAAAAAUAUCUGAGCCCACUAACGCUACAGUGAGAGAACCACAAUAACUUGUCCUUUUUUUUUUUCUUAUCAAAACAUUUGUAUAUUUCUGGCACACAAUCCCCCCCCAGCCCCUCUCAAGAACCCCCAAAACACCCGAUCCUCCCCCCCAGAUGAUGCUGAAUUAUGAACGUGCCACAUCAUGAGUCUCCUGGGGCGGGUAGCUGUGCAUCGUGCCAGGAAAGCCGCCCUACUCUGUGUAGUCUUUCUAAUGGCGCGUGUGUGGAGCAGCACCUCCCUAGCCUUGGCAGGGGCGGCAAUGUCUCAAGGACCCCAGGGCUGUCCACCGCAAUGUUCCUGCAGUAAUCAACAGGGGAAGGUGGUGUGCACCAGGCGAGGCCUCACUCGUGUGCCCCCAGGAAUUCCUGCCAAUACGCGACACCUCAAUCUAAUGGAAAACGCCAUUGAGGCGGUGCAGGCUGACUCAUUCCGCCACCUGCACCACCUUGAGGUGCUCCAGCUUGGGCGAAAUGCCAUACGGCAGAUUGAGGUGGGCGCGUUUAAUGGACUUACAAGUCUCAACACUCUGGAGCUUUUUGACAACAGAUUGACAGUGGUGCCCAGUGGGGCCUUUGAGUAUCUAUCCAAACUAAGAGAACUGUGGCUGAGGAACAACCCCAUUGAAAGUAUUCCCUCCUAUGCCUUUAACCGGGUGCCCUCUCUCAUGCGACUGGACCUUGGAGAGUUGCGAAAACUCGAGUACAUCUCAGAAGGGGCUUUUGAGGGCCUACAAAACCUUAAGUACCUCAACCUGGGCAUGUGCAACAUACGAGGGGACUUGCCAAACCUGAGUCCCCUGAAGGGUCUCGAAGAGCUGGAGAUGUCUGAAAAUCAUUUCCCUGUGAUAAAGCCAAGCUCCUUUAAAGGGCUCCGCUCCUUGAAAAAACUGUGGGUCAUGAACUCGCAGAUCACAGUCAUCGAGCGAAAUGCUUUUGACGACCUAUCUUCACUGGUGGAGCUAAACCUGGCCCAUAACAACUUGAGCUCUGUGCCACAUGAUCUGUUCUCCCCGCUCAGGUACCUGGUGGAACUCCAUCUACACCAUAACCCCUGGAACUGUGGCUGUGAGGCGGUGUGGUUAGCACGAUGGCUCAGAGAGUAUAUCCCCACCAACUCUACUUGCUGUGGACGAUGCCACUCACCUGCCAACAUGAGGGGCAGGCAGUUGGUCGAGGUGGAGAGAGGUGAAGGAGCGGCCACCCAGUGCUCCGCACCAUUUAUUGCUGAUGCACCUAGAGACUUGAACAUCUCAGCAGGCCGAGUCGCUGAGCUUCGUUGCCGUACAGCACUGAUGUCAUCGGUACGCUGGUUAUUACCAAAUGGAACUAUACUGACACAUGCCACCCGCCAUCUUAGAAUAUCAGUCCUGAAUGAUGGCACCUUAAAUUUCUCCAACGUCCUGGCAGGUGAUACAGGCACUUACACCUGCAUGGUGUCCAACGCAGCUGGGAACUCCAACGCUUCAGCCUACCUCAAUGUGAGUGCAGCUGAGCUUAACACAUCCAAUUUGAGCUACUUCACUACGGUGACAGUUGAAGUACUGGGGCCAACAACUGAGAUGCCCAAAUCGAAAAUGACAACAGCAACCGCUACUGCCGCUGGAGCGGCUGGAGGGGGAGGAAAAGGCCUGGCAACAACGACAACAACAGCGUCCCCUUCUGUCUUUCAACCAGUUUUCAUCUCCACACCAACUGUGCUGCUGCAAAGCACCGACAGUACACAGGGAGCAGCCAAGCCAUCACCAGGGCCAGGGGUCAAAGGAGCAACUGGCAAGCCAGGAAAGUCUGGUCCAAGUCUAGACGAAGUGAUGAAAACAACUAAAAUCAUAAUUGGCUGCUUUGUGGCUGUCACCCUCCUUGCUGCCGUCAUGCUUAUCGCCUUCUACAAGUUGAGGAAGAGGCACCAGCAAAGGAGCACAGUGGCAGCAGCACGCACCGUGGAGAUCAUCCAGGUGGACGAGGAGGACCUUCCACCCCCAGCGUCCGCAGCCCAAGAGUCGUCCCUCACACUGCCUGAAAUCCGGGACCAUAACAGCAUUCACAAACUUGAUUUCAUCAGCCACAAGACUGACUAUAGCUUUCACAAACCCAAGACCGAAUACAAACAGCCGGAUUUCACUCUUCACAAGCCCAAGGCAGAGUACACCACAUAUAAGCCAAAUAUGGAUUUUGCUACACACAAAUCCAUAGCCGCCUACAGCACUCAUAAAUCGACACCGGAUUUUAGCCUUCACAGAGCAAAACCAGACUACAGCCCAUUUAGACAGUCCUACAACACUCACAAACCAAAAGUAGAGUACAGCCCAUUCAAGCCAGACUUUGGGACCCACCCAAAAGUACGAUCGGAAUAUAGUCCAUUCAAACCGGAUUUCAGCACUAAUCCCAGGCAAAAAGCGGACUUCAGCCCAUUCAAGAGAGACUUCAGCACACAACCAAAACCCAAACACGACUACAGCCCAUUGAAAUCGGACUACAACACACACAAAGCAGAAUACAGUCCAUACAAACACGACUUUGGGACCCAUCCAAGACCUAAGGCAGAAUACAGCCCCUUUAAGCCUGACUACAGUACUCAGCCUAAACCCAAACCAGACUACAACAGUCAAAGACAAAAAAUUGACUUUGCCUACAAAACAAAAGACCCCUACAACUCCCAAAAGUCAGGGGCAGACUUCAGCGCCUUCAAGACCAAUUUCAGCCCUCACAAAGGAGAUUACAGCGCCUUCAAGUCCGACUUCAGUCCCCACACUCAGAGGCCCAAACAUGACUACAGUCCACACAAAGUGGACUACAACAGCCCACAUAAGGUGGACUUCAGCACUCUAAAACCCAAAUACAACACCUACAAACCAUCGGGCCACGGGGCUAAGUGGACGGACAACAAUGUUGGGAACUCUCUGCCUCGAACCUUACCCAGCACCAUCACGGCAAUGGCAGAGCCCUUUGUCAUAAAAACUCACACCAAGGAGAAGGUCCAGGAGACUCAGAUUUAAGAGGUCUGAAAGACCCCAGUUUUUCUAAAGAAAAAAAAAAGUCCUAGCUCAUGACCCCUUCUGUCAUUUCCUUUUAAAAUCAUGCAAUAGAAUGCACAAUGAAAAAGGGACAGCGACUACUUUUUUGUACAGAGUGCGACAGUAGAGACUGCUGAUUUUCUUGUUGUACAUGCUUAUAAAUAAAUAUAUAUAUAUGGACAUUUGAAAAAAAAAAAACAUGGGCUGGUGAUAGAGAAACAUAUAUUAAAAGAAAUUGAAACUAUUUUCUAACUUGUAACUUCUAUUUAAAGACAAUGAGUUGUUUAAGAUGCUGUCUUGACUUUGACAUAUGAGAAUAGUCUUGUUUUCAAAGAGGGCAUUCUGUGUGAUUUUUACACCAUGCUGAAGAGAAUGCAGUGAUAGCGAAAUAUUUAUACAAAGACUUUCUUUAACAAAAACAGAGAAAAGGUCAGUGUCGAUCUUUAGAGGUUUAUCUUGUAAAAGCACCAAGAUUUGUACUGUGCCAAAUGUUAUAAAUGCAAUAAAAAUGAUUUUUGGAAGAAAAAAAGGGUUGCUAGAGAGAGAUGAUUUCCCCGUUCCUUUUCUUCUGCCAUUUACUGUAACGAUCAGCCAAGUGCUUUAGACACUGCAGUAAGACGCUGCAGCUAUGCUUUAACCCCGUGUGUGCUGAGUGGCUCAGGCGGAAUAAAUGAUGUGCGAGUAACUGGUGCUUUGAACGUCAACUGCUUUUGUACCGUCACUUUUACUCAGUAAUCUCCAUAUGGUUUGAUUUGCUGUGAUGUACUGCGCUGUGGUUGUUAUAAAACUGGCCAGAGUAAGACAUUUUCAAAGGUUGUGAAUGAACUCAGGGUAAAUGUUUUGAAAUGAAUGAUAAAUGAACACCAAGCAGCAGAUGCAGAGAAUUACACUGAGGUGUAUCCUGUAUUUGGACUUCAGAAAACCGCAUAUUCUCAAAAGUAAUCCAAAGAUAAUACCCUUCAGUGCGCCACGACUUAAAUAGCUCUGCACUUUAAGAGGCAGAAUUAUGAACACUACUGAGCACAAGCACAGAAGAAACAGCUCAAGCUCCAGGUGAAAACACCUGGAAGGGUACAGAGAGCAUGCUGGUCUGCUUUUGGAAAAGGUGUAACAAUGUGUAGCAAAAGAUGCUGGCAAAUCUGUGCAUUAGCAAGUGUGAGACCCAUCGACAUAAAUUAGACGGGAGCAAAAGGACAAAAGGCCUUCCAGGCCUGAAGACACAUUCUUAAGGUCGAGUUUGGAAACAGGGAAGCAAUGUAAUAAGGAGUGCAUUUUGCUAAUGUGACACUGAGAUAUUAAUGUUUCGGAUGAGGACAGUGAUCCAAAGGAGCUCUGAUAAGUGUAGCAUUAUGAGAUAUAAAAACUGCAUGGAGGGCUGUCAGACGAUGCAAAAUGGAACAAGCUAGAGAGCAGACAGAGCGAGCAAGGAAAGCCCAGCUAAGGUGUGAAGCAGUGUCGUGUUCCAAUCCAGCUCCAUUUCCUUCAAUUGCCAUGGCUGAAUUGAGCAACAAAUAAAUCACUGCAGUGCACCGGGGCAGUCGCCCCUGAUCACUUGGCUACCAUCAGACACAAUGACAUCAGCCAUGGCCUUUUGGUUGGCGGCUCCCACCUUCUCACCGAGACGACGAUGCCGUUGUUCAUGAGAUGUGAGACUGGAACGCUCAAACUGCAUUGACAUAGGGACAGCGUGGCGGUCUCAGCCAUGCGAGCGUCACAUGUAAAUGCCCAUUCAGUAUUGUACUAACGAUUGACCGAUUUGCUGACUCAUGGCUGAGAAAGUCGCUUAUGCUCCAGUGAUUUGAUGAGGGUGCGUGCCGAGGCGUUCUCAUGAGAAAUGUUUACCAUGCUGACUUGGGGAGCAUUCAUACUGGCUGAAAUGCUAAUUGUGUCAUAAAGUGCCAACGUGUGUUCUCACAAGCUUGUGUUUUUUUUGUUUAGCUGAUAACGGGGGGGGGGGCGCGUCAACAGCAUGUUCAAUUCCAAAGUGUUAUUUUAUGGGGUCACAAACAACAGUGCCAUAAAAGCCUGGUCAUACUAAUCAGUCAACAUGGUUAGAGGGUCAUCCAUCAGCCUGAGAGCGAGGCACUGGCAGGUACACCGCGUCUUUCUUUCAUUCUCUGAAGCAGUGCCCACUGCAGUCCCGAGCAGGAAGUGAAAGAAUCCAGUCUUAUUAAACAGUGAGGGACAACAAACUGCGUACUCGAUGGUAUCAAAGACGCAGAGCUGUCGAGACAAAGGGAGCCAAAGGAAUGAUAUAAUGAAGUCAAUAGCAGGCAAACAAGACGCAGCUCAUUUAACAAAAUCAAAAUUAGAACCAGAAAAGAAGAGGUGAUUAGUCCUUAGACAGAAAAGCAAAGCAAGAGGAGGGAGAGAGAAGGAGUGGAGGCACAUGAGAGAGAAGGAAGCAAAUGUGAUGCAAGAGUGCCAGCUACAGAUGGAAAGGGGGAUAUAUUGCUGGGCCGUCAUGACUCUGCUAUGACUGGUGAAUGGAGGGGUAGGAAGGAAGAGCAGGAACGGAGCUGAAGGGACCAUCAAUGCCGACAUUUAGAUUUAGCAUGAGCAGCCACUUUCACAAAUCUCUCUUGAAUACAUGUAGUAACAACAACAACAAAAAACAAAAUGUUCAUUAAUUCAAACUUUUUUUGUUUGCCAUUAAAUGUCAACUUAUUUGGUCCAUUCCCCAUUGAGUUUUGACGUUCGACAAUUCCACGAGUCACAUUACUUCAUUCUAAAGCAGGAUGAGUAGACAUCAUUCCAUUUCAAGAUGUUAAAUUGAGAAACUAAGAUGUCAAGUUAAAUCCAAAAAAGAGGUCUGUGAAGAAACUGGGUGGUGCAGUUUUACAUUAGUGAUAACUUCUGAUGGAAGUAGGAUGUGUGAUCUCUCGGGUACAUGAGAUGAGAACUCAGGGCCCUGAUCUUUCCUAUAUUUUUUAUUCAUGCAAGAUUAACCAGAGAAAAAAGAAACACGAUAAACGUGUAUGGACUGUACUGUUAUACUGUGUAUAAUAAAGUACCACACUGUACUCUGCAUCAAAACAAAGUCAUAUGAACUGCAAACAUUGUAAGCAAUUAUAUUCUGGACGAGGUUCCAAACCACAUCCUGUGAUCACAGGCUAGUAAUUGUGCAUCCAAUCGCCGCCAGUGUGCUAGCGAAGCUGAGGCUAUUCUGAGCAGGCCUGCGAGCUGCUGCCUGGUGAGUCAACAUGAGUCAGGGCCAAAGAUUUGCUUAGUUGUAAUGUGGAAUGAAGGGAGCCAGGACUCACCCUAUUGUUACCACGAUGACUCCCCGCCACAAUUUGAGAGAAUGAGCUUAAUAUGUCCGUUCAGCAAUAAGUUCCAGCAACUAUCUUCCACCUCAAAAAAUGAUUCAGAGAGACUGCUGGCCAUUUAAAUCACUGGCCCCACCACUCAAUUUGUGUGGUACCCAAUGAGACAGACUUAUUGCUGUUUUUUCCAGGUGAAGAGAAAAAAAAAUGCUAUAUAUUCUUAGCAAGCAGAGACGCCGCCGCCUCACUUUUACGAUGCUGUCCAGCAGUUGAGCAAGAGAGUGUGCGCUGUAAAUCACUUCCGAGGGCAGAGAAAUGAGGGGCUGAGCUGUGUGAGGAGGCAAUGUUGCGGUUUGUGUGUUCACAGAGCAAUAAAAAGCACAAGCAUGCAGAGCCAGGACCAAAUCCUAGUGACCACAAAUGUCCUCACCAUUCCAUCAGCAGAUGUGAUCAGCAGAAAAAGGAAAUAAAAUAAGUGGAUUUGUUUUGAUGAAAACUGGAUGACACAUCGGUAUGAAGUGUGUGAUGAGGUCACAAGCCACAGUGGCAUCUAAAUGCGUUCUUCAUGUAGCCAUUGUGAAGCUAAGGUUGUCAAUGGCAAAGCCCAUUACUGAACUUGGUGUUUCCAUAGCAACCCAGGUGACAUUGAUAUAGCUGUAUCAGGGGCGGAAUCAUAAAAGAUGUCAGAAUCAUAGCGAGCGCACAUUUAUUAAGCCGGCAGAGAUAAUAAGGCUUUUGUCAAAAUCUGGUAUUUAAUGAAGCCCUGGCUCGCAGAUAAACCUGGAGACGUGUGUUGUUCCUGUAGCGGCAAUCGUAUUGAACGUAAAAUAAGGUUCCCUUUCAGGUGUUUGAGCUCGUCAUUGCACACUAGUUCAGGUAGGCGCCGCGAACAAGAUCGAGCCAGGAUUCCUUUGUUGAAUGUAACAGCAUUAGCAGGUGUGAACACAAUGGUUACUGCUUUGCUGCCAAAGUGUGAUGUUAAAGAUGCAAACCAAGAAACAGGACUGCGACGUGUUAUACAUUCAAUUAGCACAGUUCCGCCUCGUCGAUAUAUCAACACUGACAUUUGAGUGGAAUUCAAAGUUCAGCAGUCAAAAUAUGAGCCACCAUGAGAAGUUGGUCAGAAAUCCCCUGGGGCUAAUUGCAAGCCACAACCCUUUCUCCAGAAGCCCAGGAAAAGUGACAUUACAUUUUACACAGAUAAAGAUUAGCAUACAAUAAACCAACAGAGAGCAGGAGGAGGGUACAGUGUUUGGAUUUAAAGCGACCCAAGUCAGUGGUGAGUAUUGGCAGGGGCCAAAACACCAUUACAAUCAGAGAUAGAAAGGAGGACGGUUUAAAGACCAAGAUGAAAAGCUGCUAAAAUGAAUUGCGAGAACAUGGGUGAACACCAUCUCCCAUCCAUAUAAAGUAUCAUAUUCCAAACAGAUUCGCUGAAGUUUCUCCUUCAGUGACAGGAAGAUUCUGCUCGAGUAUGAGUAUGAAUAACUUCUUGAUGUCUGUGUGCUGGGAUCUCAGUGAGCAGAGCCGCCCACUCGGAAUAUUUGUUGUCUUGUCAAGUGAAUUAAUACCCCACUGUUGUCAGCAUGACAUGGUCGGGCUCAUAUUAAAAUCCAAAAAGGUAAACAAUAGUUUUUCUGAAGCAGAAGGACGACUCAAAAGGUGAUUGUGCAUCAAUAACACUUGAUUUGUGGCUGCUAAAAACGGCUUUGAAACCAAGUUGCAGGUCACAGUGUGCCAAAGGAAAAGAGGAUGCAGCGGGUUUACAGCUUGUAAAAAGGAGGCGAAGGGAUGAAAGAACAAGAGAGAAGGAUACAGGGUUUAGGAGGCUUGGCAAUCAUUCACCCUCCCACUUUGUAGGCAGCCAACGACUAUUUGCUCACAGCAGUACAUGCAUCCAUUACAUUGUUCUAAGAGAUAAUAACUCUGUUUAUGUGCAAGGCUGCGUUACAUUGUGGAAAUAAUCAUCCUGAUGCUGAACUAAGUUCACAGAUAUAUCAAGAGAGCAGCAGAAAUCAUUGGAAACUGUGGUUCUGUCAGUUCUGCCUGCAAAUGUCACAAGAAAACCAAGGGCAUCCUGACAACAGCAGUGAGACAAGCCUUGGCCAAAGACAAGGAUCACGGAGGGAUCCAUCCGCGGCCAAUUCAUUCUCAUAUCUGAGCAGUAAUCUCUCCACUUGAUCUUGCGGUUUCACAGCAGUGUAAGUUACAGUCCAUACAAGACGCCCUUGUCUCCGUUGAGAAGGAGGGGUUCUCUCCAGUCGUGAAUGUCUCAGCUACUCACCCCCAUCUCUCUGGUCUGUGCCACAUGCUAAUCAGUAGCCUACACCCAAAUACUUCCACAGAAGCCUCCUAUAUACACAUGGCCAUUUCAUAGCGCCAGUUGCCAUCGGAGAUAUAAACAAAAGCACAGGAAAAGAGGUGGUAAAAGCCUCAAAACAACUGAUAUCGGAGCACAAACAGAAAAGCAUAGAUGAGAAAAUCCAGGGUUUCCCACCUUGGGAGAAAACUUUUCUUUUCAUCUGCAUCUGAAAAGAACCAGUCAGUUGUAUGCGCAUGUAUAAGAUGCGGUGCCUUGAUUCGUCCUUGCAGCUGUGAGGCUGCAGACGCACCCGGUCACGGUCAGACGGGCUGUAGCUACAGGACACAGGAAGCCAGAGACCUAUAUGGGAGCUGCGUUCCUCGGCACCAUUGAGAACCAGAACAGGAAAACAACUUGGCUCACUCUGGCACUGUCUCUGUCACCGAACAUUACAAGCACAAUCAUGCUCAUGCAGGUCUCGUGUCUUCGUCGUUGUUGGCAGGCCUGGAGAGUGAACUACAUCUGUUUCAGUUAUUUUCUUGGCCAAGCUCUUUAAUGAUUCGGAGAUCAGACGAAUGUGACUCAGCGCACUGAAGUGAGCAUGUAUAAAACCACCUCUCCAAGGUCAAGCAGCGACAAAGAGAAACCAUAAGGUGGCAGAAACUGUCAAUUGCUGACACAACACAUGUCUCGCAGGGGCAAAAAAGGAAAGACAGAGUGGACGAAGGACGAUGUUGGGUUGGGGCAGGGGUAACUGUACAGACAUGGGGACCCUGUGCUGGGGUUAAGCAGGGGUGGCGAGCCUUUUCUUUCUUUACUCCGAUACGCUCAUCCAUUUCUGUAUAAAAAUAAAUGAAAACAGGGCCCGUCAGACAGAGAAACAGGAGGACAAGAGGAAAUGGGACUUGCUCUUUAGUAGUCUUCUCAUGGCAGCAGUGUGCAUGGCAAUUUUCAUUUCAGCUAAUAACACAUGAUACUGCUGGUGAGUCCAUAUCCUGUUUACCUGCCUUUGGCAUAAAAACCGAGCAUCGAUAAAACUCGGUGUUGUCUCUUCAUCAAAAUAACCAUCGACAGUGUGAGUCAGUGUGCCUUUGUUGUAAAGCCAGAGUUGUCAAGGGAACCAACAGAGCGACUACACUGCAGACCCAUAUUGACAUGUACACACACAAAUAACUGACCCUUUCAGGACAGAAAAUAACCAUGUGCUCGCUUCAAAAGUGGAAUAUUGGCCAUGAAUGGGCUUCCACAAUGGGCCGUGUCAAUAUUUCUCUCUGCGGUUUUAUCUUUGUAUCCGAUGAAAGCAGGGAUGAAUGUGCAUCUGUCCAUCACACUGCACAGUUGGGUCACAGUUACCAGCAGAAUGGGAUCAAACUGUGCAUCAAUAAAACAAUGGCGGCCUGGAGACUUUUCCUCAGAGGGGAUCAUCAGAGAUUCUGUUGACAUAUGGUGAGGCAGAGAAGUAGGUUUGUUUUCUAGAUCAGGAAAAAUGCGGGGCAAAAAUUCUCUUGACUCCUUAUACCUCAAAAACAAAAUGCUCCCAGAGAUGAGGGACAAUAUUCUCAGAUAAAGUGCCUUAUCAAAUUGAGCUCUCAGUGAUGUCUCGACACCGUGAAGCAUGAUGGUGGAUUCAUAAUUGGCUGGUUGUUGGGGGCCUUUUUAAAGAUUAAGACGAGCCAGUGAGUUAAACACAUAUUUCUGAAGGCAACCAGCUGAGCUACAGUUGAACACUUCAGAUAUUUGUCCUGUAUUCCGCUUCACCAGUUGUGAGCGCAGAACAUUGAAAAAGUCCCACAACACUCUUCUACAUCUCCCCUUUUCCACAUUAAACUUUCUAUCGGUGACCAAUCACAAAGAGGGUUGUGGUCAGAGGAGAAGAUAUUCUAACUGAGGCACUUCCACUGGACAUCAUUUAACACCAAGAAUGUUUCUUUAACUCAUGUAUGACAUCUAAUGAGCUAUUGAUCUUUGUAUUUGAAAGAGGAUGUUAAACAGCAACCAUCUAUGCUUUCCUUGCUUGUCGGACCUUGGUCUGAAGAGAUGCAGGGACAAUAGACAUCAUUUGAAUUGCAAAGUACUUAAAAUAACACAUAUUCAAUGGUGUAGCAUUGAUGACAAAAACAGAAUACGAAGUUUCACAUUUUGCAUCCUCUGCCCGCUUCCGUGUAAAUGCCAGCGACUCUAACAACUAAAUGAAGAAAGUUGAUGCACGUGUAAAGAAUAAAUGAGCCCAACUGUGUCCUGGUAUAUUUAAUCGCAAAUUUAACAAGUUGCCAUGGUAACAAGGUUGGAGACGCUGUUGCCCGGAAACUCAAACAAAUCCCAAUAUCGUGUUGCUGAAGGGAAAGAACAGAAAAUCUGAAACAUAAUUAGUUUGACCAUCAAUCUAUUGAAACUAAGGCCAACUGUCCAAACAAAUGAAGAACAGAAUCGUCAAAAUAACUUUAUGAAAUACAAUACACAGCAAACCAAGAUGGCAGCAUCAACAAUUGUCGAUGGAAGAUGACACUGUUGUACAAUCAUAAAGCAGAUGUCUGGUGGACGGUGAUGACAUAAUGACGGACAGGUGGACGAAGAUAAAAGACAAAACUGAAGUGCAUCCUAUUUGAAAAAUACGUAUUAUUGUCAUUUACCAUCAAUUAUUACAACUCAAUAUCAUUUAAUUAUAUUUUGAAGAAAUUUAUUUCAUCACACUAUUUGCUACUGACAGAAGUCAAACAGUAUGGAUGUUUUCUAUGAUGUGUAGUGUGCAGUUAACAUAACUGAACUGGACACUGGGUCACAGCCAGUACUUUUUUGUUUGUCUGACUUCAGCAUGUGGUGAGUAGAAGUGAACCCACAAGGCAUUUGCUGUCACCGCAGUCUGUUAGGGAAACCACGGCAUACAUUUUUCAGGCUGUGUACUACUUGUCUGAGACUGAGGAUGCGUAAAGCCCACACCCAUGUGUACACUGAGUACUUGGAACCGAGAGGCGAGGGGAGGUGGGCGAGCGAUUGUCAAAGGGAAGCACGACUGGUGUCACGGGCAUUUUGCCAAAAUAAUUCAAGCGUGAUUGGAAAUCAAUGUUGGAGUAUGGGGGCUGUGGAGACAGCCAACACGGAACUGCAGCGAUGAAAAGAAGAAGAGACAACGCUCCAUUUCAUGAGAGCUGGUGUGUAGCAUGUGUCAAACUAACAUGGCUAAAAAGUGAGCCAGGCAGCUGGACACCUCAGGGCCUCAGACCGGUGUUACGGUCCAUCAUGAAUUCCCACAAAACUGCAAAAUCUGACGACGUGACCAAGCUGUGGGUGUUCAUCAGGGCUUAAUCAAAGACUCAGCAAGUUACUGCAGCAGAGAAAUGAGCUAUGGAGGACAUCUGGGAAGCACAGCAACUCAUCAACACUCCACCAAAUACUGCAGGUGUCAAACCAUCACACCAGUCAGUCGGAACAGCAGCAGACCAAGUAUGAUAAAGUCCCGUG